AAAUUGAAGAGUUUGAUCAUGGCUCAGAUUGAACGCUGGCGGCAGGCCUAACACAUGCAAGUCGAACGGUAGCACAGAGAGCUUGCUCUCGGGUGACGAGUGGCGGACGGGUGAGUAAUGUCUGGGAAACUGCCUGAUGGAGGGGGAUAACUACUGGAAACGGUGGCUAAUACCGCAUAACGUCGCAAGACCAAAGAGGGGGACCUUCGGGCCUCUUGCCAUCAGAUGUGCCCAGAUGGGAUUAGCUUGUU
rnacentral:rRNA from 3 species